UGAGUAACGCGCAUGCAACCUACCUACUACAGGGGAAUAGCCCGAAGAAAUUCGGAUUAAUGCCGCAUAAUACAGGGGCACCGCAUGGUGAUAUUUGUUAAAGAUUAAUUGGUAGUAGAUGGGCAUGCGUUCCAUUAGCCAGUUGGUGAGGUAACGGCUCACCAAAGCAACGAUGGAUAGGGGAACUGAGAGGUUUAUCCCCCACACUGGUACUGAGACACGGACCAG
rnacentral:rRNA from 1 species